UACGGCGAGUGAAGCGGCAACAGCUCAAAUUUGAAAUCUGGCCCUUGGGUCCGAGUUGUAAUUUGUAGAGGAUGCUUUUGGUGAGGUGCCUUCCGAGUUCCCUGGAACGGGACGCCAUAGAGGGUGAGAGCCCCGUCUGGUUGGACACCGAGCCUCUGUAAAGCUCCUUCGACGAGUCGAGUAGUUUGGGAAUGCUGCUCUAAAUGGGAGGUAUAUGUCUUCUAAAGCUAAAUAUUGGCCAGAGACCGAUAGCGCACAAGUAGAGUGAUCGAAAGAUGAAAAGCACUUUGAAAAGAGGGUUAAAUAGUACGUGAAAUUGUUGAAAGGGAAGCGCUUAUGACCAGACUUGAGCCCGGUUAAUCAUCCAGCCUUCUGGCUGGUGCACUUGGCCGGCUCAGGCCAGCAUCAGUUCGGCGCGGGGGAUAAAGACUUCGGGAAUGUGGCUCCUCCGGGAGUGUUAUAGCCCGUUGUGUAAUACCCUGUACUGGACUGAGGUUCGCGCAUCUGCAAGGAUGCUGGCGUAAUGGUCAUCAGCGACCCGUCUUGAAACACGGACCAAGGAGUCGUCUUCGUAUGCGAGUGUUCGGGUGUCAAACCCCUACGCGUAAUGAAAGUGAACGCAGGUGAGAGCUUCGGCGCAUCAUCGACCGAUCCUGAUGUUCUCGGACGGAUUUGAGUAAGAGCAUACGGAGCCGGACCCGAAAGAAGGUGAACUAUGCCUGU
rnacentral:rRNA from 1 species